GGGUCGGUGCCCGAGUGGUUAAUGGGGGCGGAUUGUAAAUCCGCUGAUAUAUGUCUACGUAGGUUCAAAUCCUACUCGGCCCA
rnacentral:tRNA from 1 species